rnacentral:rRNA from 1 species
UCUGGUUGAUCCUGCCAGCGGCCACCGCUAUAGGAAUUCGAUUAAGACAUGCGAGUCGAGAGCCGUCAAAAGCUCGGCGGACUGCUCAGUAACACGUGGAGAACGUGCCCUUAAGCGGAGGAUAAUCUCGGGAAAUUGAGGAUAAUACUCCAUAGGUCAUGGGAUCUGGAACGACCCAUGGCCGAAAGCUCCGGCGCUUAAGGAUCGCUCUGCGGCUUAUCAGGUCGUAGUGGGUGUAACGUACCCCCUAGCCGACGACGAGUAUGGGCCUUGAGAGAGGGAGCCCAGAGUUGGAUUCUGAGACACGAAUCCAGGCCCUACGGGGCGCAGCAGUCGCGAAAACUUCACACUGGGGGCAACCCCGAUGAGGGAAUUCCUAGUGCCAGGGCUUUUUGUCCUGGCUUUUCUCCAGCGUAGAUUACUGGAGGAAUAAGGGCUGGGUAAGACGGGUGCCAGCCGCCGCGGUAAUACCUGCAGCCCGAGUGGUGGUCGAUUUUAUUGAGUCUAAAACGUUCGUAGCCGGUCCGGUAAAUCCCUGGGUAAAUCGGGAAGCUCAACUUCCCG